rnacentral:rRNA from 1 species
GUGCCCAAGAGUUCAUAUCGACGGCACUGUUUGGCACCUCGAUGUCGACUCAUCGCAUCCUGGGGCUGAAGCAGGUCCCAAGGGUUCGGCUGUUCGCCGAUUAAAGAGAUACGUGAGUUGGGUUCAAACCGUCGUGAGACAGGUUGGUUUUUAUCUACCGUGCCCGCAAGAAGAUUGAGAAGAGCUGCUCUUAGUACGAGAGGACCGGAGUGGAGAUACCUCUAGUGUUCCAGUUGUCGUGCCAACGGCACAGCUGGGUAGCUACGUAUCUGAUGGAUAAACGCUGAAAGCAUCUAAGCGUGAAACUAACUUCAAGACUAAUCUUCUAUUAGAAUCGUUGUAGACUACGACGUUGAUAGGUUAGGUGUGUAAGUAUGGUGACAUAUUUAGCUAACUAAUACUAAUAAUUCGAAAACUUAUUUUU